CGAAUGCUGACAUAAGUAACGAUAAAGCGGGUGAAAAGCCCGCUCGCCGGAAGACCAAGGGUUCCUGUCCAACGUUAAUCGGGGCAGGGUGAGUCGACCCCUAAGGCGAGGCCGAAAGGCGUAGUCGAUGGGAAACAGGUUAAUAUUCCUGUACUUGGUGUUACUGCGAAGGGGGGACGGAGAAGGCUAUGUUGGCCGGGCGACGGUUGUCCCGGUUUAAGCGUGUAGGCUGGUUUUCCAGGCAAAUCCGGAAAAUCAAGGCUGAGGCGUGAUGACGAGGCACUACGGUGCUGAAGCAACAAAUGCCCUGCUUCCAGGAAAAGCCUCUAAGCAUCAGGUAACAUCAAAUCGUACCCCAAAC
rnacentral:rRNA from 1 species